rfam:Alternaria alternata strain SRC1lrK2f unplaced genomic scaffold CC77scaffold_21, whole genome shotgun sequence.
GGUUUUGUAGUGUAGCGGUUAUCACUCCGGAUUCUGAUCUCAUAAUCAGUGUCUUCCGGCAACCCCGGUUCGGUAAGCCAAUUCAGCCCCCAGUUAAUUCUGGUCAUCUGCUAAUAAUAAUUCAGAUUCCGGGCAAGACCU